GUUGACCUGCCGGACCUGACUGCUAUCGGAUUGGUACUAAGCCAUGCGAGUCGUUGUAGCAAUACAAGGCGGACUGCUCAGUAACACGUAGUUAACUUAACCUAUGGAUGGGAAUAACCUCGGGAAACUGAGAAUAAUACCCAAUGGGCCACAGUGCCUGGAAUGGCCUGUGGUUGAAAUGAUUUAUCGCCGUAGGAUAGGACUGCGGCCUAUCAGCUUGUUGGUGAGGUAAUGGCCCACCAAGGCUAUAACAGGUACGGGCUCUGAGAGGAGGGGCCCGGAGAUGGGUACUGAGACACGGACCCAGGCCCUAUGGGGCGCAGCAGGCGAGAAACCUUUGCAAUGUGCGAAAGCACGACAAGGUUAAUCCGAGUGUCUCCUGCUAAAGGAGUCUUUUGUCAGUUGUAGAAUCACUGGUGAAUAAGGGGUGGGCAAGUUCUGGUGUCAGCCGCCGCGGUAAAACCAGCACCUCGAGUGGUCAGGAGGUUUAUUGGGCCUAAAGCAUCCGUAGCCGGUUGCAUAAGUUUUCGGUUAAAUCUAUGCGCUUAACGUAUAGGCCGCCGAAAAUACUGUGCAGCUAGGGAGUGGGAGAGGUACACGGUACUCGAUAGGAAGGGGUAAAUCCUUUGAUCUAUUGAAGACCCCU
rnacentral:rRNA from 1 species